rnacentral:rRNA from 1 species
UACGUAGGUGGCAAGCGUUAUCCGGAAUUAUUGGGCGUAAAGAGCGCGCAGGUGGUUAAUUAAGUCUGAUGUGAAAGCCCACGGCUUAACCGUGGAGGGUCAUUGGAAACUGGUUUUCUUGAGUGAGCGAGAAGUAUGCGGAAUGCGUGGUGUAGCGGUGAAAUGCAUAGAUAUCACGCAGAACUCCGAUUGCGAAGGCAGCAUACCGGCGCUCAACUGACGCUCAUGCACGAAAGUGUGGGUAUCGAACAGG